UUAAUCUUAAGACUGUCUCGGUUGAGUCCGAUCUUUUAAGAUUAAUUGUUUGGUUAGUAUGUUUGGUGUUUAUCCUUCUUCGGACUUAGUCGAUUGAGCAUAUUUACCCUCACUAUCAUCAAAUUCCUGUAAAGCCGAUCGUCUAGGUCAUCGGCUAGGGUCCUGGGGCGGUAUCGGCUAUCCGGUCAAUAGCGGUUUCGGGGUUAACCGUUUUCUAUGUUACAUCUUGUUAGUUGCAGGAGCAAACUGAUUGGCACGCCCAGCAUUGAACCUAGUGGACAAGCAUACCUACGUGUGUGACCGGUGAUUGUUAUUUUCAGCGUCAAUAGUGGGUCGAAGCCAUACCAUUGAAGAAAGUAACUUCGGCCGAUUCAAUCAACUUCGUGAAAGAGCACAUAAUCUACAGGUUUGGGAUUCCGCAAACAAUUACUACAGACCAAUGGUCAAUAUUCAUCUUGGAUGAAUUCCAACAAUUCGUCGUCGGUAUGGGGAUCAAACUGCUCAACUCGUUUCCCUAUUAUGCUCGGGCUAAUGGACAAAGUAGAAGCGUCGAACAAAAGUUUGAUUAAGCUGAUAAAGAGAAAGAUAGCCGAGCAACCAAGGAGAUGGCAUACCUCGCUAGCCGAUUCGCUUUGGUCACAUCGGAUGGCGUGUCAUGGAUCUAUACAGGUACCACCUUACCAGCUAGCUACGAGCAUGGGGCAGUAUUACCGUGGGAGAAUAACAUCGGCUCAAGUAGAUUGGCUUUACAAAAUCAACUGACGGUCGAUGAAUAUUAUAAUCUCAUGGUGGAUGAACUAGAAGAUAUUGCACAAUCUCGGUUAUACCUAAAACUUUUGAAGAAGGUGAAUCGGUAUGGAAGCUAGUGCUGCCGAUUGGGUCCAGAGAUAACGUCUUUGGCAAGUGGUCGCCUAAUUGGGAAGAGCCUUAUCGGAUUUAUAAGUGUGCACCCGGGAAUGCCUAUAUGCUAGACGGUUUGGAUGGAGAAGUGUUCGGAAGAGCGUAUGGACAAGUUUCUGAGGAAGUACUACCCGAGCGUAUGGAUAAAUUCGUGAUCGGCUAAGCCGAUUAACGUAAAAGCCAAUACAGCUAAGUAUGGCCUCAAGAUGGUCGAUGUUGAUACAUCCCUAGACCAAAAGAUCACCAUACAUCAAGGUAGAGACAAUAAAAGGUACAACCAUGGCAGAAAGGCAGGAAGUAUAUUACUAAGCAUCUAAAGGUUAACAAUCGCUUCAAGUUAUGUCGCAAGCCAAUAAAAGGUACAACCGUCAAAGAAUUACAGGCCCAAGUGUUUCUUUAGGGCAUUGAUCGCGCGCAGGCGAACGUCAUCGACAUCUUGGAUAAUUUUCAAAUCGUCAUCAUUGUCGAUGGACCGGCGGCUACAAACAGCGGUCUGGAUGACAUACUUCAGGAUUUGUUCUUGGGUAACGAUGGCCGAUGGUAGAUUGGCUAGUUUUGCUCUGCUGUGGAGAGGCUCUCCGUGACCCUGGCUAGCUGUGCUUCUAAAUCGGCCUUCUUUGCUUUCAAUUCCUCAAUGACGGCCGAUAUGCCUGGUGCAACCGACUUGAGCUCCUCUAGCUUAGCUUUCUCGGCUACGGCUUGCUCCCGAUUGGCCUGUAGUUUCACUUGUGCCGGAAUUUACGAAGCGCGGUCUUCGAUCCGCUGACGAGCUCGGAGUACAGGAAGCCUAUGGAAUUCGAUGUGGCCCACUGGAGCAAUUGCAUCGAUCAGGUUGUCGGGCAGUUGGUCUUGUAUCUCUUCGAUUCUUGACCUGAUCGGACUGGCAUCGUUGAUGAGGGAUGGGGUAAUCCAGUCUUGGCAGAAUAUCAGUGAGUUGUUCUUUGACAUCGGCUGGCAGACUGGCAGAAGUAUUGACAUCAGCCUCGGGUGGGUCUAGAUAUUGACCGAUAUCAAAAGAGAAAAAUCAUCCAAGUCCUGGAAUAAAAGAUGACGGGUAAGCCAAAGCGUGGAGUGGAGGAUAGAAAGUUGCAGCAAAGGUUAUCUGCAUCAUUGAGGCAGAAGAAGCAGCAUCGGCUGGCUAAAUAGGUGUAGUCGUCGGCACAAUGAUUUCUUCGGCACUAGUCAUCGGCUCUGGAACAGGAUCGGCCGGUGAAGUAGGCACAUCAGUAAAUGCAGACGCUAUAGAAGGCUGUCAAGAGUAAAAUUAAGUAUCAGUGAGGGUGCAGAACUAAGAAGCAGCAUUAAAACUUACCUUGGGCUUUCGAGGACAGGGCUGAUGGGUUAUCACCUUAUGUUUGCUACCCGUCUUCAGAGGUGAGCUAGUUGUGGUGCUGGCAGGAGGAGGUUGAGGGGUAGCUGUUUGUUGAUCGGCACCAUCGUCCAACUGCUCAUCAGCCCCAGCAUCGAUAGCCGUGUCAAUAUCGGCCGAUAUGGCCACCAUGGGUAUGGCUUCUACAGCUAUCUUGGCCUUCUUCUUGGUGACCUUGCUGGUUCUUUUCUUCCUCUUCAACCUCCUCAGAGGGCUUGGUGGCUUAGCGAAGUUCUUGAUGUACUCCGAGGGGGAGGGAGCACCAUGCCCAGGCGCUGCAACGGCCGUGGUUGAGUACUCGAUCGGCUUCCCACUGUGACUAAUAGUCGGGGCAGCCAAAGAAGCCUGCAAAAGAGGACAGAAAAGUUAGUCAGAUAAGAGAAGUAAUUAUCAGAGGUAAAAAGGCUGAAGAUUAGAACAAGUACUUCGGAGACUGAGAAAUCAUAGUCGGAGUUGAUGGGAAUCUACGGCUACGGGGUGUCUUAGAUUCUUUGUAGUCUGGUGGGAAUCUGUGGCUGGUAAGAGAGGAGAGCUCUAGAACUUUGGAAAAAUACAGCCUCAACCAUAGCUGCAAACACCACCACGGGUCGGUGAUGUGUCCGAUAGCUAACCGUUUGAUAGCUUAAGGAAACUUGGUGCAACAGCUCAUAUACUGCACCUAGUAGGAAUCAGCCUAGGGGGAGGAUGUUGCCGUCAGACAGGUAUUCUGCCGAGCAUUCCAUGUUGGUAGUAGGUCCCAGAGUCUGACCACACAAGACGAAUCGCUCGAGCCAGAGAUUGAGAAAAGCGUCGUGUUCUCAAUGUUCAACUGGCUUGGAUGGUUUCUGGUGCCUGCCGAUAUACUUACUCCAUCCACCAGCCCCUUUUGUCUGCAACUGAUGCUGAAAGUUGUUCCUCAAUUUAUAUGGGUUGAUGGUGGCUGUGAUAUUGAGGCCAGUGAGCAUGACUACGUCCAUCAGGGUUGGGGUCAUCGGCCUAUGUCCGAAAAGGAAUGCGUUAAGCGCAUCGAACCAGAAGUAAGACGCACCGGCCAAUGCAGAUAUGGGCAGAUAUGGGCAUACUUAUUCGAACGGUAAACAUGUCCCCUAACAACAUGAAAUCGACUUAUUGAAGUAAGACUUAUUGAGUUUAUUACUUCUUUGAUCAUCAUGUCCCCUAACAACAUGAAAUCGACUUCUCUUCCUGGAAGAUGACAUACUUAUUCGAACGGUAAACAGAUAUGGGCAGAAGAACUGGGAAACUGUUGCACGCGCUAUACCUGGUCGAAAUGUACAACAAUGCAAAGCAAGAUUUUGACAAGGUCUACCAGGUUUUAUAGUCAAAUUUCAGUGGUAUAGAUUGCAUUUGAGGUGAAUCAAGGUUUUAGCGUGUCGGUAUCAGGGUCGCAUUCGGGUGUUCUUUCACUUUCAGAGGUGUGGACACUGCAAGAAACUUGCUCCAGAGUAUGAGAAAGCUGCUCAAGAACUAAGCAAGCAUGAUCCACCGAUUGUUCUUGCUAAAGCUGAUGCCAACGAUGAGAAAAACAUGCCGCUAGACACCAGUUAUGAGAUCCCGGGUUUCCCAACCCUGAAGAUAUUCAGGAACCAGGGGAAGAACAUUCAGAAAUACAAGGGCCCGAGGGAGGCCGAGGGCAUUGUUGACUACUUGAAGAAGCAGGUUGGCCGUGCUUCCAAGGAGAUCAAGUCACCAGAAGACGCAACCAACCUUAUUGAUGAUAAGAAAGUCUACAUUGUUGGAAUCUUCCCAGUUCAGCGGCACUGAGUUUACAAACUUCAUGGAGGUUGCAGAGAAGCUGAGAUCUGAUUAUGACUUUGGGCACACUUUGCAUGCUAACCACCUUCCACGUGGUGAUGCUGCAGUCGAGAGGCCGUUGGUCAGGCUAUUCAAACCAUUUGAUGAGCUUGUUGUUGACAGCAAGAAUUUUGAUGUUAGUGCUUUGGAGAAGUUCAUUGAUGCCAGCAGCACCCCUAAAGUUGUUACUUUUGACAAGAACCCUGACAACCACCCUUGCCUCCUGAAAUUUUUUCAAAGCUCUGCUGCCAAAUUGCCAAGGUGACGUGCCGCCUCCGAGCUUCACCGCGGGGCGGCCGCCACCGGGAUGCGCCUCUGGACAGGAGAGAGAGGAGAACUCCGAAGAGAUGAAGAGAGAGGGGGACAGUGAAUGGAGCGAUCGUUACUUUGCAUGCUUGAUCCGUGGGUUUGCUUGCCGUGUACCAGAUUAACUGGAAUCAAGUUCCCCAGGCUGGCUAAGCCCGACUUCUCCCUCAGCACCGAU